UACGUAGGUGGCAAGCGUUGUCCGGAUUUAUUGGGUUUAAAGGGUGCGUAGGCGGCUCCUUAAGUCAGUGCUGAAAUACUCUAGCUUAACUAGAGGGGUGGCAUUGGUACUGAGGAGCUUGAGUAGAGUCGAGGUAGGCAGAAUUGACGGUGUAGCGGUGAAAUGCUUAGAUAUCGUCAACAACACCGAUAGUGUAGACAGCUUACUAGGCUUCAACUGACGCUGAGGCACGAAAGUGUGGGGAUCAAACAGG
rnacentral:rRNA from 1 species